CCUACGGGAGGCAGCAGUGGGGGAUAUUGCACGAUGGGGGAAACCCUGAUGCAGCGACGCCGCGUGGGCGAAGAAGUAUUUCGGUAUGUAAAGCCCUAUCAGCAGGGAAGAAGAAAUGACGGUACCUGAGUAAGAAGCACCGGCUAAAUACGUGCCAGCAGCCGCGGUAAUACGUAUGGUGCAAGCGUUAUCCGGAUUUACUGGGUGGAAAGGGAGCGCAGGCGGCACGGCAAGCCUGAUGUGAAAGCCCGCGGCCCAACCGCGGGACUGCAUUGGGAACUACCGGGCUGGAGUGCCGGAGAGGUAGGCGGAAUUCCUAGUGUAGCGGUGAAAUGCGUAGAUAUUAGGAGGAACACCAGUGGCGAAGGCGGCCUACUGGACGGUGACUGACGCUGAGGCUCGAAAGCGUGGGGAGCAAACAGGAUUAGAUACCCGGGUAGUC
rnacentral:rRNA from 1 species